rnacentral:rRNA from 1 species
AGAAUCAACGCUGGCGGCGUGCCUAACACAUGCAAGUCGCACGAGAAAGGGUAGCAAUACCUGAGUAAAGUGGCGCACGGGUGAGUAACACGUGAAUCAUCUACCUCCGAGUGGGGAAUAACUGAGAGAAAUCUUAGCUAAUACCGCAUAACACUUACGAGUCAAAGCAGCAAUGCGCUUGGAGAGGAGUUCGCGGCAGAUUAGUUAGUUGGCGGGGUAAUGGCCCACCAAGACGAUGAUCUGUAUCCGGCCUGAGAGGGCGCACGGACACACUGGAACUGAAACACGGUCCAGACUCCUACGGGAGGCAGCAGUGGGGGAAUUUUGCGCAAUGGGGGAAACCCUGACGCAGCAACGCCGCGUGGAGGAUGAAGCCCCUUGGGGUGUAAACUCCUUUCGAUCGGGAAGAUAAUGACGGUACCGAUAUAAGAAGCCCCGGCUAACUUCGUGCCAGCAGCCGC